GGAGGUGAAGGGCCGCGCUCCCCUCGCCGCCGCCGAAGGUCUUAUCGAACGAUCAGCCCAAACAUCACACACACUCGUCACCCAAACGCUGCCUCAUCUCAUUAGUCAAAGCAAAACAGAUUACAACCUACAUCCCCAUAUCUCUCUUUAAGCCUGGAGAGUGUGAUUCAAAGUGUUGUGGCAAUGUUGUUUUGAUGUUUUUAAAUCAUCCAGUUGUUAUUUUUGCGCUGAGUAGGGAAAAUUGUUAUGUGUUUAUGGCAAGGUGCUUGUGUAAGAGUCUGAGUCUGACCUGGAGGGCUCAAUUUGUGGCCCACUUCUCAAUAAGUUAAAUUCCUCCGCUCUAUCUCGUGCUGUCACCUGUAAUCGACUCGAUGCUCUGAUCAAUACAGCAACGGCAAAAUUGAAAUUUCCCCCUCUGGUUAAUUUUUCCCCCGAUUGAUUGAUCAGAGCGAGCCGACCUGGAGGGACCACAGCUGUGCGCUGAUGGAAAUCUUUGUGUUAUCGGACAACUGCUCCCCUGGACACUGUGAUAUAGCAGCGUCCUGCCAUCUGCAGCCGGAGCCCUCUGAAGCACUGAUUACCAAAUGCAUAUGAUAUCCAGGCUCUAUAAUACCAUCAUCAGUCAUCUGUCAUAAUAAUGUGUUAUCUUAAGUCACAUGGUUUGAUAUGAAUGACAGUGAUACAUGAGCCUCAUCCCCGCUUCAGUCAGAACGCAGAGAAACUAAACGCCCCAGUGUGGAGUUUGCAUCUUCUACAGAAUCAUUUUCUAGUCAACCUCUUAAAAGCAACGUUUACACGCGGUCGGCCGAUCACCACAGUCGCACCCCAGGCCUGAGAUGAAUGAACGAUAACACAGCGUCUCACUUCAUUGAGUUUCACAGCGAUAUUUGCUGAUGACGAAUCGGCGUGAAGGUGCAGUUUUCUUAGAAGCGGUCCACUCAUUUAUUAGCGGAAGGAAGAUUAGAGGAAUGUAGGUGGCAUGAGCAGUAUUUAAAACAGAGCCGACCUACGUGGGAGUGAGUAGGAGGUUUCCCGAUGCGGCCUGUUUGUUUGUGUGUGUGUUCAGUUGAAGUGUGCUCAGAUUCCUUCCUGUGACUUCACCUCAACUGGCCUGUGCUGAUCUAAUAUUCUCUCAUCUCCCAAACACACACAUGCUGCCUUUCACUUGUUCUCUGCGAAAGGAGCUCAAAGCGCUCGUCUGUGAGGACGGUCGUUGACGUAACGCGUCCCUCAGGUCUUAACUUGACAUUUAUCAUCAACCACAAUGAGCAAACCUUUGGUAUUUUAACCGUGUUUUGGGUCAUGAUCCUGUCAGAGCAGCAUAACAUUAGGUUUCAUAGUCCUGUCACGAUGCUCUCCUUUCUUUUAUUACGCUAUAAUGUGUGCAUAUUCUAGAGCUAUCCAUAAAUCUAUCAAGUCCAUUUUAAUUGUUUUUUAUCAAAUUUAAGAUAUUUUAACUCUAUUUCUACAAUCUGGGACAAUUCAACAGUAUACUACAGUAUACACUAUACACUAUACUGUAAAGACAUUGUUUAAGCAAAUGAGCACAUACAGUAGGUUUAUUAAAUGACCUGUAGUCAGAGUUUGCAUGCAUGCGUUUAUUAAUGAUGCCACUCUAUUAGUGUGUAAAAUGGCCGUGUUACAGUGCACCAAAUCCCUGUGUGCACUAAUUUGAUUGAAGCCAGUAUAAAGAGUAAUAGAGGCCAUGAAGUUAAAUUAUGCAUGUAGUGUAAUUAGCCAAUCAAGUGUUUAAAUUAGAAGUUGAUGACUUUCUGCCACAAAUGAGAGGAUGACACUCCCUCUGGUCAAAAGGGCUUUUCUCAGUGACACUCAGUGGCACGACUGUGUCAUUUGGACCGAAACAUGUUAAUCACUACUCAGAUAAAUAAACAGAUAAACUCCCGGUUCGCUGUGAUCGUGAAGUACAAUAUGCUGGUGCGUUGGCCUAAAAUGAGCUCUAGCACCUAUUUAUUUUCUAAUGGUGCUGGUACUGGGUUAUUAGCUCGUCUGAUAUAUGGCUUUAAUUACAUCCUCAUCACAUUAUUUUGUCUAAUUGUGUUGUAUCUGUUGGGUAAUUGUGAACUCGUUCACCAGCGUCUCAAGGAGGUAUUGAUUUUACCUCACACUUAAAAAACACCGCAGUAGCUUUCCCCAUUAACGAGCACCCGACACACAGUGGAACAUGUUUGGUUCACGUUGACUAGUCAAAUAAAACCAGAUAUCAACCGUAUUAGCAGCUAAACUAAUAUCAGUGAAGGUUAGAUUGCUUUGUUACUCACAUGAUGUAAACUCAUAAAAGUAUCAUUGUCUGCACCGCAUUCAAGCUAUUACCCAUGUAGGGUUGAGAAUCAGGUCUAAUUAUUGUUUGUGUCUUAAUAAAUAAUCCAAUAAGUAGCAUUUUGUCCAAUAAAACAACAGCUUAGCUCUGGUGUCUCCACGCAUGCUGUGAUGCUAGAACAUAGCUGACCCUCUUCAUUUACUGAUGGCAGCAGAUGAAAAAUCAGGGCAUGUUUAAGGUCAGCAGGAUUCCUCCUCUGGUCACCACUGAUAUCGGCCCAGAACUCCCUGCUUUUCCAUUUGAUACCUUAGAUAAGACAGCCUGGGUCCUUGGCUCAUUAGCAUAAUAAACAGGCAUCACUCAGCCACAUCACUGCAUUAAGUGAUGUGUUCUUUUGUUAUAAUAGGCUUGUGCACUAUAACCAUAUGUCACCUGUCCUCUGGAGAAGAAGAAGAAGAAGAAGAAGAAGAAGAAGAAGAAGAAGAAGAAGAAGAAGAAGAAGAAGAAGAAGAAGAAGAAGAAGAAGAAGAAGAAGAAGAAGAAGAAGAAGAACAAGAACAAGAACAAGAACAAGAACAAGAAAAAGAAGAAGAAGAAGAAGAAGAAGAAGAAGAAGAAGAAGGAAGAAGAAGAAGAAGAAGAAGAAGAAGAAGAAGAAGAAGAAGAAUGCCUUUAUAAGAAAUUG